rnacentral:rRNA from 1 species
UUGGGACUAGCGAAACCUAAAGGCGAAAUGAAAGUGAAAGUCGGCCUCGCGCCGACCUAGGGAGGAUGGGUCGCGUCACGGCGCGACCCCGCACUCCCGGGGCGUCUCGUUCUCAUUGCGAGAAGAGGCGCACCAAGAGCGUACACGCUGGGACCCGAAAGAUGGUGAACUAUGCCUGGUCAGGACGAAGUCAGGGGAAACCCUGAUGGAGGUCCGAAGCGAUUCUGACGUGCAAAUCGAUCGUCGGAACUGGGUAUAGGGGCGAAAGACUAAUCGAACCAUCUAGUAGCUGGUUCCCUCCGAAGUUUCCCUCAGGAUAGCUGGCGCUCGCUUUUGCGAGUCUCAUCUGGUAAAGCGAAUGAUUAGAGGCAUUGGGGUCGAAACGGCCUCAACCUAUUCUCAAACUUUAAAUGGGUGAGAUCUCCGGCUUGCUUAAAUUGUGAAGCCGCGAGAUCGGAUCAGAGUGCCAAGUGGGCCAUUUUUGGUAAGCAGAACUGGCGCUGUGGGAUGAACCAAACGCAGAGUUAAAGCUCCAAAAUCAACGCUUAUGGGAUACCAUGAAAGGCGUUGGUAACUUAAGACAGCAGGACGGUGGCCAUGGAA